UUAUGAAUUUAAUGGACAGUAAAAUGUGAUUUGGGACAGUAACAAGGUGGUUUAUGAAUUUAAUGGACAGUAAAAUGUGAUUUGGGACAGUAACAAGGUGGUUUAUGAAUUUAAUGGACAGUAAAAUGUGAUUUGUGAAAUUAAACUAGUAUGCCUGUAACAAGGUGGUUUAUGAAUUUAAUGGACAGUAAAAUAUGAUUUGGGACAGUAACAAGGUGGUUUAUGAAUUUAAUGGACAGUGAAAUAUGAUUUGGGACAGUAACAAGGUGUUUUAUGAAUUUAAUUGACAGUAACGGUGAUUUUUGAAUUUACUGGAAAGUUAAAAUAUGAUUUGUGAAGUUAAACUAGUGUAAUUAUAAUCAGAUGAUUUAUAAAUUUAAUGAACAGUAAGUAAUAAGGUGGAUUUAAUGGAGAGUAAAAGAUAAGUUGUGAAAGUAACUAGUUUGACAGUAACAAACUGGUUUGCGAACCUAACAGACAGUAGAAAAAUGGUUUGUGAAAUUAAACUAAUGUAACUGUGACAAGAUAUAUGAUUCGUGAAUUUAAACAUAUGUGGCAGUUAAAAAACGUUGUUUGAGAUUUUAAACCUCGUUUACAAUGUGAGUUUAUUUUUGUAACUAAUUCCAUAACUUAUAUAAGUUUUAUAAUGGAUCUUACAUCUGGUGUAAAAUAUGGCUUAAAAUUUCCUACUUGUAAAAUAAAAUAUAAAAAAAAACUGUUUCUGGUCACCAUUAGAUAUUCUUGCAGGUAGGAACUCUGUAGACUUCUAUAGCCAUAGAGCGUUUAGAACUAGUAAAUGUUUAGAUGUCUACACGACUUUAUAUUAGUAGAAUUAAAUCUAGGCUUAACUGGUUUAACGGUGAUUAGUAAUGGACUCUGUUCACCGUGCUUAGAGGCCCACACGCCUUUAUAUUACUAAUGUUAAAUCUAGGCUUAACUAGUUAAAGAGUGGUCAGUAUGUACAUUAAUCACUGUCAUGCACACGGCUUUGUAUUAGUACGGUUAAAUAUAGGCUUAACUAGUUAAAGAGUGGUCAGUAAUCACUGUCAGCUACACUGCUCUCUAUUAGUACGGUUAAAUCUAGGCUUAACUAGUAAAAGUAAUGGACCCUGCUCACUGUCGUUUACGUAGCUUUUAAAUAGUAAGGAAAAUUUAAGUUGAAUUAUUUACACAGUGGUCAGUAGUGACCAUUGCUCAGGUGGACUGAUUAUAACUUGAUUUAUGUUGCCGUAUUUCUGGUAUUUCGUUAAAUAACUGAAAGAAAAACUCCGCAACACUUGGCAUUUCAUGGUAUGACCCACAUGAUGUGACAAGGUUUAUUGAAAACCCGAAGGUAUAACCACUGAUCACACUUAAAUCGAUAUAACCACUAUGUGGACAUGUCAAAUUAAAAGAAGUGUGUUUUUAACUCAACCUCAUUUUUAAUCAACUUGUUUUUCCUUCUUUUCGUUGUGUUCACAAUAAAUCUUUGCACGAAUCAUCUUUAAGUGUGUUUGUUUUUAUAACAAGUUGAUUUAGUUUGUUAAAACUGAUUAGAAAAAAAAACUCAUGGUGGUGAAACUACAAUUAACGUUUUACUGAUUUAUGCAUAUUUCACAGCGAUAUAGUUCUUAGUAAACAUUUCGGAUGUUUAUUGACUAACUUCGUAAAUUUGUUUUGUAUUUAGUUUCGAGGAGAAAGAAUGGUUGUGAUAUUUGAUAUAAAUUAUGUGGCAUACGUGACAUAAAAAUGUGGCAUCAAUUUUGUUUUUACAGAAGUGGUUUGUUGAUAAUUUAAGGCAGUUGGCUCGUCAAACAAUUCGCUUUAAACGGAACCUUUUUUUUCUGUUUCAGCUAAUAUAUAUACACAUACAAACGAUAUUGUUCAGAAUUCCUAUUUUACUUGCUUUGUUGUCAGUAGAGGGCAGCUUAGUGUUCAGGAAGAUGGAGACGUUUAUCAUUACACGAAAUUGAUAAGAAAAAACACAUCUACUAUAAAAAAACAUGAGUGAACUUUUGCUCCUUAGAUAUAUAUAUUAUAAGGAUGUCGUGAGUUAAUAGUUUCAUUAAGAGAUUUAACUGUUUUGGUUUGAGAGAUAGAUAUUGUAUUAUAUUUGAACUUUACGCUUGAAAAAGAGUGCAAAAAUGUUUUUCCAACCUUUAGUCAAUCGUAGAGCUUUAACUGUAGAAGAUUUACAAUUAAUACGAGCUGUUUUCGAUGAUUUAAAAUCGAAUGCUCUUUCUGUUAAAAUCGCAAAGUUUGAAAAAUAAAGUUUUGUAUAUCUAUGUUUUAGAA